rnacentral:rRNA from 1 species
UACAGAGGGUGCAAGCGUUGCUCGGAAUUAUUGGGCGUAAAGGGUAGGUAGGUGGUCUCAUUUGUCCGGGGUGAAAGCCUUGAGCUUAACUCAAGAAGUGCCCCGGAAACGGUGAGACUGGAGUCUUGGUGAGGGUCGUGGAAUUCCCGGUGUAGCGGUGAAAUGCGUAGAGAUCGGGAGGAACACCAGAGGCGAAAGCGGCGACCUGGACAAGUACUGACACUCAACUACGAAAGCGUGGGGAGCAAACAGG